rfam:Cariama cristata contig46948, whole genome shotgun sequence.
GAGAAAUGAGGAUACAGACUCUGUCUUACUUCCGCAGUGAAGACUUCAGAUCCAACUCUGAUCUUACACUGAAG